rnacentral:rRNA from 1 species
AACGAACGCUGGCGGCAGGCCUAACACAUGCAAGUCGAACGCCGUAGCAAUACGGAGUGGCAGACGGGUGAGUAACACGUGGGAACGUACCCUUCGGUUCGGGAUAACUCAGGGAAACUUGAGCUAAUACCGGAUACGUCCGAGAGGAGAAAGACUUAUUGCCGAGGGAUCGGCCCGCGUCUGAUUAGCUUGUUGGUGAGGUAACGGCUCACCAAGGCGACGAUCAGUAGCUGGUCGAGAGGAUGAUCAGCCACAUUGGGACUGAGACACGGCCCAAACUCCUACGGGAGGCAGCAGUGGGGAAUAUUGGACAAUGGGCGCAAGCCUGAUCCAGCCAUGCCGCGUGAGUGAUGAA